UACGUAGGCAGCAAGCGUUGUUCGGAGUUACUGGGCGUAAAGAGCUCGUAGGUGGUUUGUCGCGUUGUUCGUGAAAACUCACAACUCAAUUGUGGGCGUGCGGGCGAUACGGGGCAGACUGGAGUACUGCAGGGGAGACUGGAAUUCCUGGUGUAGCGGUGGAAUGCGCAGAUAUCAGGAGGAACACCGGUGGCGAAGGCGGGUCUCUGGGCAGUAACUGACGCUGAGGAGCGAAAGCGUGGGGAGCGAACAGG
rnacentral:rRNA from 1 species